UACGUAGGAGGCGAGCGUUGUCCGGAAUUACUGGGCGUAAAGAGCGCGUAGGUGGCGCGAUACGACCGGUGUGAAAUCCUCCGGCUCAACUGGAGGGGGUCACUGGUAACGGUCGUGCUAAGAGUGCAGGAGAGGGACGUGGAACUCCGGGAGUAGCGGUGAAAUGCGUAGAGACCCGGAGGAACACCAGUGGCGAAGGCGGUGUCCUGGCCUGCGACUGACGCUGUGGCGCGAAAGCUAGGGGAGCGAACGGG
rnacentral:rRNA from 1 species